rnacentral:lncRNA from 1 species
AGAAGUUGAAAUUUGUACCGAAUUGGUAGUAAAAUCAGAACGGGGAAAUGAAAGGAAGAAUAAAAGAGACCAAAACGAGCCGCUAUCAUUAAUGCGAGUUCAUGCUCUACUGUGUUUUGGCGAUUUUGCCAAGAGCAAACAAGUUUAACCUAAGCAAGAGAAAAGAUGAUGAAAUUCUAGCAAAAAACGACUGAAUUCAAGGGUAAAACGGUAAGCAAAAGGAAAGCGG